CAAUGGCUCAGUUGGUUAGAGCGCUGCCCUGUCACGGCAGAGGUCGCGGGUUCGAGUCCCGCUUGG
rnacentral:tRNA from 2 species